CACAGCUCCCCAUGGGACUGGCAUUAGCAGCAGAUUAAAUUGCUGUGUGCCAGACAUGUCCAGUGACAGCAGAUUGUGACUUGGACUUCUCAGAAGUAUGGGAUGCAAAGCUUUAAUGGGAGUUUGGCUUAGCUGAACAUCAAGAGAAAGAGCAACCAAUUCAAGAAAGCAUCAGUUGUCUUGGUCUGUGUUAGACCUAGAAGGAUCUGUGAAACAGGAGCCCACAAGAAACCAGCUUCCUCUGGUUCUGCUGCUGGUGAAACUGCUUUAAUUAUGCCUCUGGUCUCUGAGACAUUAUCUUGCCUUUUGUUCAUACUCAACCUGAUGACUUUGAGAGACUGGCAUUAGCCUUUGAGAGACUAACAUUAGAAUCUCGUGAGCAAGUUUGCAGUGGAACUUUUCAAAUUGUUUUGAAUAGCUUGUCUGAGCCUGUUUUAGGGUGCAGUUGGUGGCAGGGCUCAUCAGCUGGGACAGUGCUGAUGAUUCUGAGGAGAAGCCAGGAGAGUGAAUGUGAGACUGUGGUACCAGCCCUGGGCUGUGUCUGCCUCUGAGGGGGGCCCAAGGAAGGUUGUAG